rnacentral:rRNA from 1 species
UACGUAGGUGGCAAGCGUUGUCCGGAAUUAUUGGGCGUAAAGCGCGCGCAGGCGGUUUCUUAAGUCUGAUGUGAAAGCCCCCGACUCAACCGGGGAGGGUCAUUGGAAACUGGGAAACUUGAGUGCAGAAGAGGAAAGUGGAAUUCCAAGUGUAGCGGUGAAAUGCGUAGAGAUUUGGAGGAACACCAGUGGCGAAGGCGACUUUCUGGUCUGUAACUGACGCUGAGGCGCGAAAGCGUGGGGAGCAAACAGG